ensembl:rRNA 5S_rRNA 5S ribosomal RNA
GUCUAUGGUCGUGCCACCGUGAACAAGCCCGAUCCUGUCUGAUCUCGGAAGCUAAGCAGGGUCGGACCUAGUUAGAACUUGGAUGGAAGACCAACUAGGAAGGCCAGGUGCUUGCUGUAGGCA